rnacentral:rRNA from 1 species
UCGGGAAUUUUGGGCAAUGGGCGAAAGCCUGACCCAGCAACGCCGCGUGAGGGAUGAAGUAUUUCGGUAUGUAAACCUCGAAAGAAUGGGAAGAAUAAAUGACGGUACCAUUUAUAAGCUCCGGCUAACUACGUGCCAGCAGCCGCGGUAAUACGUAGGGAGCAAGCGUUGUUCGGAUUUACUGGGCGUAAAGGGCUCGUAGGCGGCGCGGUAAGUCACUUGUGAAAUCUCUGAGCUUAACUCAGAACGGCCAAGUGAUACUGCUGUGCUAGAGUGCGGAAGAGGCAACCGGAAUUCUUGGUGUAGCGGUGAAAUGCGUAGAUAUCAAGAGGAACACCUGAGGCGAAGGCGGGUUGCUGGGGCGACACUGACGCUGAUGCGCGAAAGCCAGGGGAGCAAACG